UACGUAGGGGGCAAGCGUUAUCCGGAAUUACUGGGUGUAAAGGGAGCGUAGACGGUUAAGUAAGUCUGGAGUGAAAGGCCGGGGCUCAACCCCGCUCCGCCGUUGAAACUGUGUCCCUUGAGUGCGCGAAGGGUAGGCGGAAUGCGUGGUGUAGCGGUGAAAUGCAUAGAUAUCACGCAGAACUCCGAUCGCGAAGGCAGCCUACCGGCGCGCUACUGACGCUCAUGCACGAAAGCGUGGGUAUCGAACAGG
rnacentral:rRNA from 1 species